GUGGCUACGAUCGGUAGGGGUUCUGAGAGGAAGGUCCCCCACACUGGAACUGAGACACGGUCCAGACUCCUACGNGAGGCAGCAGUGAGGAAUAUUGGUCAAUGGGCGGAAGCCUGAACCAGCCAAGUAGCGUGAGGGAAGACUGCCCUAUGGGUUGUAAACCUCUUUUGUGCGGGGAUAAAGUGUGGGACGUGUCCCAUAUUGCAGGUACCGCACGAAUAAGGACCGGCUAAUUCCGUGCCAGCAGCCGCGGUAAUACGGAAGGUCCGGGCGUUAUCCGGAUUUAUUGGGUUUAAAGGGAGCGCAGGCCGUCCUUUAAGCGUGCUGUGAAAUGCCGCGGCUCAACCGUGGCACUGCAGCGCGAACUGGAGGACUUGAGUACGCACGAGGUAGGCGGAAUUCGUGGUGUAGCGGUGAAAUGCUUAGAUAUCACGAAGAACCCCGAUUGCGAAGGCAGCUUACCGGAGCGCAACUGACGCUGAGGCUCGAAAGCGCGGGUAUCGAACAGGAUUAGAUACCCUGGUAGUCCGCGCGGUAAACGAUGGAUGCCCGCCGUUGGGAUAUUGAUUUCAGCGGCCAAGCGAAAGCGUUAAGCAUCCCACCUGGGGAGUACGCCGGCAACGGUGAAACUCAAAGGAAUUGACGGGGGCCCGCACAAGCGGAGGAACAUGUGGUUUAAUUCGAUGAUACGCGAGGAACCUUACCCGGGCUUGAAUUGCAGGAGAACGAUCCAGAGAUGGUGAGGCCCUUCGGGGCUCCUGUGAAGGUGCUGCAUGGUUGUCGUCAGCUCGUGCCGUGAGGUGUCGGCUCAAGUGCCAUAACGAGCGCAACCCCUGUCCAUAGUUGCCAUCAGGUUUAGCUGGGCACUCUGUGGAGACUGCCGCCGUAAGGUGUAAGGAAGGUGGGGAUGACGUCAAAUCAGCACGGCCCUUACGUCCGGGGCUACACACGUGUUACAAUGGGGCAUACAGCGAGUUGGAUGUGCGCAAGUACGUCCGGAUCAAUAAAGUGCCUCUCAGUUCGGACUGGGGUCUGCAACCCGACCCCACGAAGCUGGAUUCGCUAGUAAUCGCGCAUCAGCCAUGGCGCGGUGAAUACGUUCCCGGGCCUUGCACA
rnacentral:rRNA from 1 species